GGCCAUACAACCCUGAAUGUGCCUGAACUCUUCUGAUCUCAGAAGUUAAGCAGGGUCAGGCCUGGUCAGUACUAUGUGGCCCAGGCUGGCCU
ensembl:rRNA 5S_rRNA 5S ribosomal RNA